AUACGUAGGGUGCAAGCGUUAAUCGGAAUUACUGGGCGUAAAGCGUGCGCAGGCGGUUUUGUAAGACAGAGGUGAAAUCCCCGGGCUCAACCUGGGAACUGCCUUUGUGACUGCAAGGCUAGAGUACGGCAGAAGGGGAUGGAAUUCCGGGGGUAGCAGGGGAAUGCGUAGAUAUGCGGAGGAACACCGAUGGCGAAGGCAAUCCCCUGGGCCUGUACUGACGCUCAUGCACGAAAGCGUGGGGAGCAAACAGGAUUAGAUACCCUGGUAGUCCACGCCCUAAACGAUGUCAACUGGUUGUUGGGUCUUCAUUGACUCAGUAACGAAGCUAACGCGUGAAGUUGACCGCCUGGGGAGUACGGCCGCAAGGUUGAAACUCAAAUGAAUUGACGGGG
rnacentral:rRNA from 1 species